AGGGACAUUCACACUGACGCUUUUUGUCACUCCGAGUCUCCAGCGGAAUGCAACUUUACAAGCCUGCCGAGGAAUCUGUUCUCAACCGGAGGACAGCUUCGUAAUGCUCAUAUUUCAACUGCAGCGUUCUCUGAAAGGAUUGCCCUGAAUGGGGUGUUCCACACCACUGGUCUGAGCUGCUCUCCUCUACACUUCACUUAUACUCUUAUACUUACAAGGCGCAGCAGGACCCUCCCUCACCAGAUUCCCUGUGACGGCUCCUCCACCGUCCUGCACUACGUGGGACUCUGUGGCCCCCAGGGAGGGGGGCCCACCCAGCUCACUCAAGGCACCUCAAGGUGUCACAGUAGGGAGCCAUCUUUGGUUUUAGAUUUAUUUUUUAUUUACUCAUAUAAAGACGUUUGCCUUUCAUGAGAGAGAUCUAGUCAUGGUUUCCCGGCGUGGUAAUGGAUCCAUCAAUUUGUCAUAACUCAUCAUGUCUAUUUCCAAGCCUGAUAUGGUGGUGCCAUAAAUAACCUUGCAGCGCUGUGGGAAACACUACAUCUUUAUCUUUAGUGUGGUGUUUUGGGUCACUGGGAAGAGGCCCUGUGCUUCUCUGAACGGAGACAGAGCUGCUGCCUUGGGAAGGAGGGUGGACGUUGAC
ensembl:lncRNA